GGCCGUUCUUUCCGGAGACUUCCAAAUUCAUUUGUGCAGAGGCAUCAUGGGCACGUAUUUGUCACUGGGUCGGAACUUGUACUGCGAGCACAAUCGAUCGGACACAGCCUCCGCGUAACCGUUCCUGGUAAAGGAACUUUCACCACGACGUUGAGAUGGAUUAGGUAAAGGCUGAGAGAUAAGUAUGAUGCGCGGAACCGUCACCAAAAGCCAUGUAUCAAGAGUGCUGUGGAAAAAAAAUAAAAAAAGAAAUGUUUACAGUGAGAUCCUUUUUUUUAUAUUUCGGGAUAUCCUUAGAUAAAUGUCGCGAUAUCUUGAAGAAUGUUUCUUUUUCUGGUCACGUAAUCCCUGAGUACGGAGGAGACGGUCGUCAACAGCGGUCUUCGAAAUCCUCUACUCUCCGUCAAAUUGUAUGGCAAGUAAUUCUGGGACCUCUCCCAUUGUAUAUCACAACUAAAACGAUUUUACGAUGUAACGGCAAGAAUAUUUAAUUUUGGCAUAACAAUGAGAUAUUCCAUGUCAUUAAUCGCGCAACAAAAUUGUUUUAUCAUAUAAAAUAAAAUAUAUAAUAAAA
rnacentral:lncRNA from 13 species